rnacentral:sRNA from 1 species
CUUGGUCAUUUAGAGGAAGUAAAAGUCGUAACAAGGUUUCCGUAGGUGAACCUGCGGAAGGAUCAUUAAGAAUUGAUAAUACUUGUGAAAUUUACACAGCAAACAAUAAUCAUACAAUCAAAACAAAAAUAAUCAAAACUUUUAACAAUGGAUCUCUUGGUUCUCGUAUCGAUGAAGAACGCAGCGAAACGCGAUAUUUCUUGUGAAUUGCAGAAGUGAAUCAUCAGUUUUUGAACGCACAUUGCACUUUGGGGUAUCCCCCAAAGUAUACUUGUUUGAGCGUUGUUUCUCUCUUGGAAUUGCAUUGCUUUUCUAAAAUUUCGAAUCAAAUUCGUUUGAAAAACAACACUAUUCAACCUCAGAUCAAGUAGGAUUACCCGCUGAACUUAAGCAUAUCAAUAAGCGGAGGAAAAGAAACCAACAGGGAUUGCCUUAGUAACGGCGAGUGAAGCGGCAAAAGCUCAAAUUUGAAAUCGGCCACCAGGUCGAGUUGUAAUUUGUAGAUUGUAUCUUGAGAGCGGAUUAAAGUCUGUUGGAACACAGCGCCUUAGAGGGUGACAGCCCCGUAAAAUCUAUUCUCAUUGUAAGAUACUUUCGAAGAGUCGAGUUGUUUGGGAAU